UUUUAAUAAAAGCUUCUUAUCAGUCAGGAUCUGGCUAUAAUCCUGGACUCAGUAGAUCCUGGGUAUAACCUAAGCCUGACUGUACACUAAUCCAG
rnacentral:pre_miRNA from 1 species